rnacentral:lncRNA from 1 species
UGGUAGCUCACACCUGUAAUCCUAGCCCUCAGGAGGGAGAGCAGGAGAUUUGCUACAAGUUCUAGGUCUGUCUGGGCCUCGCAAUGAGACUGUUUCAAACAAAAUGAUACUUUUAGCCCACUUUUGGCCCAUCCAACCGUAGUUGACUUUUCCAGGGAACAGGGAAGUGGUUGUGGUAAUAACUAGUAAAUAUCACAGUAAAGGCACAUGAGCAGGUGGCAUUGAGCAACCAAAAUCGACACUUGGAAUUCCAUCUCAGCUCUCAUUCUUAAGCAGUAGGAGCCUCUUACCCUAGAGCAAGAAUUAUAGCUUUGUACCGUUUGAGUAAUGUCAAGUAUUUGGUCAGUCAUUGCUCAGUACAUUAAUUACGUGAAAUGAUGCUUUUCACUAAUAGAUGCAAUCAUCGCUUUCCACAUCACAAAGCAGGUCUAAUGAAUGGCAAAGGGGAAGUCCACAUGUUUGGCUGAUGCUCCUGUUUUAUACAGAGAACAUUUUACUAGGCUAGAGGGAACAGAGCUUCUUGGAGGGAAGGAAGAAAGGCUAACAAAGUGCAAUUUUUGUUUUUGUUUUACUUCUUUCAAGCAAGAAUCUAAGUUGAUUGCCAAACCAUACAAUCCAGAAGCUCUGAGGCUCUCCUGGGCCUGCUGUUGAAUUUCUAAGGAGUUUGCCUUGGAAGAAUCAGACAGCAGGAUGGACUUGGGAGGACACCUAGUGGCAGAGGAGUGGCUUCCCUGGAACUCUCAAUGUAGACCAGGCUGGCCUGGAACUAACAGAGAUCACCUGCCUCUGACUCCUGGAUACUGGUAUUAAAGGUAUUCAACACCAAAUGUUUUGUCUGCAUGGAUGUAUGUGUACAAAAUAGUGCCUACAGAAAUCCGAAGAGAGCUUUGAAUCCCCUGAAACUGGCAAUGCAGAUGAUUGUGAGACACCACGUGCAUGCUGGGAAUUGAAUUGGGUCCUCUGCAAAAGCAGCCAGUGCUCUUAGCCACUGAUCCAUCUCUCUAGCUCUGACCAGCUUGUCUUUCAGCCUUCCUAUAGCAUUAGCUCGGUAAGCCCUGGGGCUUUUGUAUGUGAGGGUGCCUGAGGUCCUCAGCAUAUGGCAAACAACACUGUAUAUUUAGGACACUCUUGAAUGUUUAAAAUUUUGAUCGACUACAAAAUAAAUGAGUGAAUGAGACAGACGAUCUUAAAAUACUGAGCUGUCUGUGGCUUUUGACUAGAACAAGAGGAAGGACCCUCAACAAGAAGCUGUCCCAAAGAAGUGUGGAAUGCCUCAGCCACCCAGGCCUGUCUUCACAGAGUGCAUAGAAAGGAUGUGAAGACACUCGUGAACCAUGAAGUGCUACACACAUGUUUCUGGUCAUUAUCUUACUAAGCACUGUAAAGGCAGUAGUUGCCUUAGGCAGAGCUAGAAUCCUUCCCAGUUUGGCCCCUUGCUGGCUGAGAGACCUCAGGCGAGGUCCUGAACUCUCCAGGUGUCUGUCUGUUUACUAUAGAACAUCAGCUUCUUAAACUCAGCUUUCUGGAAAGAGUGAGGGCUUUAGCAUCAGUUGGGCCUGAAGCAAGGGAACAUCGCGCCUGUGAGACUUCAGGAGACACCAUGCAUAUUGAUAAUGCUGAACUCUGGCUUCCUCUAGCUUCCUGGACAACUCCAGACAAGUUGCUUGGUUUUACUGUUGCAAAUAGCCAUGAUUUCCCAGGGAUCCCUGGGGGUGAAAUGACAUGCAUAAAGUUCCAGUACACAUCUAGGAACUCAGCAGCAGAGCUACCAGCAGUGGCGUGAGCUCUCAGGAGCUCCCAAGCUGGGCCCAGAACUCAGCUCCCAACCCACCCUCUGUGUUCUUCAAUUCCUAACUCCCACCCAGCUGUUCUCUCUCAAAGAAUACAGCAUUUAGGGGCUGGAGAGAUGGCUCAGAGAUUAAGAGCACUGACUGCUCUUCAGUGGUCCUGACUUCAAUUCCAAGAAUCCAUGUGUGGCUCACAACCAUCUGUAAUGGGAUCUGAUUCCCU